rnacentral:rRNA from 1 species
AUUGAACGCUGGCGGCAUGCUCUACACAUGCAAGUCGAACGGUAACAGGCCGCAAGGUGCUGACGAGUGGCGAACGGGUGAGUAAUGCAUCGGAACGUGCCCAGUCGUGGGGGAUAACUACUCGAAAGAGUAGCUAAUACCGCAUACGAUCUAUGGAUGAAAGCGGGGGACCGUAAGGCCUCGCGCGAUUGGAGCGGCCGAUGUCAGAUUAGGUAGUUGGUGGGGUAAAGGCUCACCAAGCCAACGAUCUGUAGCUGGUCUGAGAGGACGACCAGCCACACUGGGACUGAGACACGGCCCAGACUCCUACGGGAGGCAGCAGUGGGGAAUUUUGGACAAUGGGCGCAAGCCUGAUCCAGCAAUGCCGCGUGCAGGAAGAAGGCCUUCGGGUUGUAAACUGCUUUUGUACGGAACGAAACGGCUCUGGUUAAUACCCGGGGCUAAUGACGGUACCGUAAGAAGAAGCACCGGCUAACUACGUG